rnacentral:lncRNA from 1 species
AGGGGAGAAAAAGCAGAGUAUCAGGCCCGGGACUUAAUUAUAAGGAAAGUGGAGUUCUGCAAAAGGCUGAAUUUUCAUGGGUUUCAGCACCAUUCUCCAAGGACUUAGAAUCUGAAUCAGUGGUACAAGACCUCACAUAAUAUUGCAUCAGGGAAAAGGACAUACUUUGGAACAAAAGGACAAAAGAGAAGAGGAAAGACCAGAAGAGGAAAGGCUUGCCACACUAACCUGAGUUCCCUGUGCUGGUUUGAAGUACUCAGUUCCCUUACCAAUUUCCAACUGUCUUUUUCCUACAACUUUAAUGUUUGUUGAGUGUAUGUAUGAUUCAUAAGAUUUCUGAUCAAUACUAUGUGUGUGACAUUGAAAGGAGUCAAAAUGAAUGUAUGACUUAGCUGCAUUUAUCAU